rnacentral:tRNA from 1 species
AAAAAUGAAACUAAUUUUUAGUUAUUAAUUUCGGCUUAAUACAUUGAUAAUAUUAAUUUAUCCAUUUUUU